UACGAAGGGGGCUAGCGUUGCUCGGAAUCACUGGGCGUAAAGCGCACGUAGGCGGCUUUUUAAGUCAGGGGUGAAAUCCUGGAGCUCAACUCCAGAACUGCCCUUGAUACUGGCGGUCUCGAGUCCGGGAGAGGUGAGUGGAACUGCGAGUGUAGAGGUGAAAUUCGUAGAUAUUCGCAAGAACACCAGUGGCGAAGGCGGCUCACUGGCCCGGUACUGACGCUGAGGUGCGGAAAGCGUGGGA
rnacentral:rRNA from 1 species